GGGAACCUUUAGAUGGUGCAAGGGUGCAUCUCUUAGCAAGGUUACAGUGGAAAUCAAAGAAAAAGACUCGAGUAGGUGAAUCGCUGCAGUUCUUUGCACCUUUCUGCUACCAGCUGUCAGUCAGCUACAAGUGGCCAAAAACUCCACCGGAUACCUUUUUUUGCAAACAGUGAAAGUUUGCUGAUAAAUUAAAUAUGGUCAUUUAAUCUCUGGGAGCUUCUCUCUGAGAGUCCUUCCUGUCUGCCCAGGGACUGAAAGCUGAACUCGCUGUGCUCCCGGCCUCUGCUGAUGUGCCCCGUCACUCAGAAUUCACACCGAUGACGACCGACGGACCCACACUUUAAGAUGCUUGGAUGAGUUUUAAUCUCGGAGCCCUCAUGCAUAUAUUGAAGCCAUCGAGUGUCUGUAUCUGUGUGCUGCUGUCGAUGACGGACAGAGAGAGGAGAAGACAUCUGCAACAAGUAGUGCAGAAUAAGAAAGAGCAGAGGGAGCAACGGAGGGAGUUCUUUCACAGAGUAAAGGCAGUGCCAUUGAUUUCCCAUGCUUGUGUUAAUUACUUUCCUCGCCCCCGGACAUGAUCAGUCCAUAAAUCACUCUGACUCGUGAGAAGACUUCAAGUUACCCACAAAUAAAAGUUAUUACAAUGAA